AGGAAUUGGCGGGGGAGCACCGCAACGGGAGGAGCGUGCGGUUUAAUUGGAUUCAACACCGGAAAACUCACCAGCGGCGACUGUUACAUGAAAGUCAGGCCGAUGACCUUACUAGAUUUUCGGGGAGGUGGUGCAUGGCCGUCGUCAGUUCGUACCGUAAGGCGUUCUCUUAAGUGAGAUAACGAACGAGACCCUCACCAAUAGUUGCUACUCCAUCCUCCGGGGUGGAGGCACACUAUUGGGACCGCUGGCGCUAAGUCAGAGGAAGGAGAGGUCAACGGUAGGUCAGUAUGCCCCGAAUCUGCUGGGCUACACGCGCGCUACAAAGGGCGGGACAAUGGGCUCCGACACCGAAAGGUGAAGGUAAUCCCGAAACCCGUCCGUAGUUCGGAUUGAGGGUUGUAACUCACCCUCAUGAAGCUGGAUUCCGUAGUAAUCGCGAAUCAACAACUCGCGGUGAAUAUGCCCCUGCUCCUUGCACACACCGC
rnacentral:rRNA from 1 species